rnacentral:rRNA from 1 species
UUAAGUCCGUAACGAGCGCAACCCUUGUCCUUAGUUACCAGCACGUUAUGUGGGCGACUCUAAGGAGACUGCCGGUGACAAACCGGAGGAAGGUGGGGAUGACGUCAAGUCAUCAUGGCCCUUACGGCCUGGGCUACACACGUGCUACAAUGGUCGGUACAAAGGGUUGCCAAGCCGCGAGGUGGAGCUAAUCCCAUAAAACCGAUCGUAGUCCGGAUCGCAGUCUGCAACUCGACUGCGUGAAGUCGGAAUCGCUAGUAAUCGUGAAUCAGAAUGUCACGGUGAAUACGUUCCCGGGCCUU